UCGCAAAUGAUAUAGCGGGAAAAUAGU
rnacentral:sRNA from 1 species